AACGUAGGAGACAAACGUUAUCCGGAGUUACUGGGCGUAAAGGGCGUGUAGGCGGUUUGUUAAGUCUGGCGUGAAAGCUCUCGGCUAAACCGGGAGAGGUCGUUGGAUACUGGCAAACUAGAGGAUGGUAGAGGCGUGUGGAAUUCCGGGUGUAGUGAUGAAAUGCGUAGAGAUCCGGAGGAACACCAGUGGCGAAGGCGACACGCUGGGCCAUACCUGACGCUAAAGCGCGACAGCAUGGGGAGCAAACGGG
rnacentral:rRNA from 1 species